rnacentral:piRNA from 1 species
GUAUAUGGGGCUGCUGGUCAUGUGCGGCU